AGAGCGAACGCUGGCGGCAGGCCUAACACAUGCAAGUCGAGCGCUCGUAGCAAUACGAGAGCGGCAGACGGGAGAGUAACACGUGGGAACGUACCCUUUGGUUCGGAACAACACAGGGAAACUUGUGCUAAUACCGAAUAAGCCCUUACGGGGAAAGAUUUAUCGCCAAAGGAUCGGCCCGCGUCUGAUUAGCUAGUUGGUGGGGUAAUGGCUCACCAAGGCGACGAUCAGUAGCUGGUCUGAGAGGAUGACCAGCCUCAUUGGGACUGAGACACGGCCCAAACUCCUACGGGAGGCAGCAGUGGGGAUAUUGGACAAUGGGCGCAAGCCUGAUCCAGCCAUGCCGCGUGGAUGAUGAAGGCCUUAGGUUGUAAAGUCCUUUAACGGGAAGAUAAUGACGGUACCGUAGAAUAAGCCCGGCUAACUUCGCGCCAGCAGCCGC
rnacentral:rRNA from 1 species